rnacentral:rRNA from 1 species
AUACGUAGGUGGCAAGCGUUAGUCCGGAUUUAUUGGGCGUAAAGCGAGCGCAGGCGGUUUUUUAAGUCUGAUGUGAAAGCCUUCGGCUUAACCGGAGAAGUGCAUCGGAAACUGGGAGACUUGAGUGCAGAAGAGGACAGUGGAACUCCAUGUGAAGCGGUGGAAUGCGUAGAUAUAUGGAAGAACACCAGUGGCGAAGGCGGCUGUCUAGUCUGUAACUGACGCUGAGGCUCGAAAGCAUGGGUAGC